rnacentral:rRNA from 1 species
AGAGUUUGAUCCUGGCUCAGGACGAACGCUGGCGGCGUGCCUAAUACAUGCAAGUCGAGCGAGCUUGCCUAGAUGAUUUUAGUGCUUGCACUAAAUGAAACUAGAUACAAGCGAGCGGCGGACGGGUGAGUAACACGUGGGUAACCUGCCCAAGAGACUGGGAUAACACCUGGAAACAGAUGCUAAUACCGGAUAACAACACUAGACGCAUGUCUAGAGUUUGAAAGAUGGUUCUGCUAUCACUCUUGGAUGGACCUGCGGUGCAUUAGCUAGUUGGUAAGGUAACGGCUUACCAAGGCAAUGAUGCAUAGCCGAGUUGAGAGACUGAUCGGCCACAUUGGGACUGAGACACGGCCCAAACUCCUACGGGAGGCAGCAGUAGGGAAUCUUCCACAAUGGACGAAAGUCUGAUGGAGCAACGCCGCGUGAGUGAAGAAGGGUUUCGGCUCGUAAAGCUCUGUUGGUAGUGAAGAAAGAUAGAGGUAGUAACUGGCCUUUAUUUGACGGUAAUUACUUGGAAAGUCACGGCUAACUACGUGCCAGCAGCCGCGGUAAUACGUAGGUGGCAAGCGUUGUCCGGAUUUAUUGGGCGUAAAGCGAGUGCAGGCGGUUCAAUAAGUCUGAUGUGAAAGCCUUCGGCUCAACCGGAGAAUUGCAUCAGAAACUGUUGAACUUGAGUGCAGAAGAGGAGAGUGGAACUCCAUGUGUAGCGGUGGAAUGCGUAGAUAUAUGGAAGAACACCAGUGGCGAAGGCGGCUCUCUGGUCUGCAACUGACGCUGAGGCUCGAAAGCAUGGGUAGCGAACAGGAUUAGAUACCCUGGUAGUCCAUGCCGUAAACGAUGAGUGAUAAGUGUUGG